GAGGGGUGAGCAAAGAUUUGCUUGAAGGCAGCCAGUCCUACGGUCUAAACGGUAGUAUAAUAUUUGUACAAUAUUUGUAUCAAAUUACUUCUGCCUACUGCGGUGUCCCUCUUAGCCAGGAAGCCAGAGCCAAGAGGGUCUCGGACAGUUCCCGCGUGCGAUUCUCCACGUACAAAACCGACCGCCCCAACGUAACUUUGCUAACUUAGUCCGCUCCGGCCCAGCCGGCCCCCGAAGCACAGUGACGGUGAAAACGUGUUGACACUGGAAAAUCAUUUCCACGACAGCCUAAGUGUGUUGGAAAGCACAAAGGCGAUCCCUGUCGGCCAGCGAUCGCUAGGAAGUUGCUGUAUGCGGGACGCCUGUGCCAGGCCGGCGUCCAGGUAAGGAGUCCCCGCACCACAGCUUCGCCCUCCCCUUCUUGGACAUUCAGGGGCUCCACCUCACUUUGGAACCGAUUCACCACAACGCGUCACCCACCCCGUUCUUUUUUCCAGGAGUUUUUUGAGACAGGAUCUCUUACUGAAGCUCACUGAUCCAGCUAGACGGGCUGACCGGCAAGCCCCAGGAAUGUCCCUAUCUCGGCCUCGCCUCCUCAGCUCUGGGAUCGCACAGGUUCUUCAUGGUGUGACUCCCCUCCCCACCCAUGAUGGACAGUACUUGGAGCUGUGAGUAAAAUCAAUCCUUCCUUCUUCAGCUGCUUCUGCAUAGCAUUUUACCACAGUAACAGAAAAAGAAACCAAUGCACAGCAUUUCAGAGUUUGGGAAUUAGGGAUGCUCAACCUGUCUGUUAAAGCCUCGAUCUAUAGAGACUAUUAAUUAAAAACAGAAACACCCCCCCCCCAAUCUCAAACCCACAUGUCCUGUGGAGAACAAUGCACUGCUGUCCUGGAAUGUUUGAGCUGAAAGCUCCUUUGCAGACUAGUCUGUCACCAUCAUUUCAGCAAUGAAGGUAGGAAGUGAAGAAGCUUGCCUGCUUAUUUUUAAAGGUUCCGUUUCUCAUUGGUUAUUAUUGCGGGUGUGCAUGGUGAAUGAAUGGGAGAAAGUGCUUGUGUGGAGGUCAGAGGACAAUUGGGUGGAGUUGGUUCACUUCUACAUUUACAUGGGUUCUGGGAAUCGAACUCAGGUCAUCAGGCUCAGGCAGCAAGCACCUUUUACCUGCUGAGCCAUUGUGCUGACCCAAGAUGCUCUUUAUAAAAAUUGGUUCAUUGAUAUGUUGAGGUGGUCC